UCCGGCCCAAGGGCCGCAAGCCGCGAAGGGGGCCGGGGCCCCGCGAAAACCGCAGGAAGCGCCCCGAGAACGUGCAGGAGGCCGCGACCCAGCCCCGGCCCGGCUCCCUCAUUCAAGCUGCCUUCCCUUCCCCCUUCUCCAAUCCCAUGCGGUCCUGGCCCCCAGCCGCCGCGCGUCUUCGGCCCACCCUCCACCCCGGCCCUCCGCGCGGCGGGCCGAGCCCCUGGGACGCCGGAGCGCCAAGAUGUAAGGUAGAGCAGCGCCCUUACCUGAGCUCCCCCGGGUUGAAUCGCUCACCGUCCCCCCCGUCCCCGCCACGCUCCGCCAUUACAGAGGGCCGCGUUCUUCCACCCGCCGCCUCAGCGUUCCCUAUUGGCCGGGCGGAUCGUCAAUCUCGCGCGAGAGAGGCGGAGAUAGCAGAGAUCUGUGAAAUGACUGGUCAGACUUUCUAUCAAUCCUCGAGCUGAGGAUGGUAUCUGCCUUAUUAUUGGUGAAAGGGCCCGCCGACUUUGAAAGCGGUAUGGAGACAGCCAGUUGAUUGGUCGCUCGGAGGCUUUAUGGUAAACGAGACUUCAGCAACGGGGAACUGCCGGCGCCCUCUCGCGGCCAUGCCGACAGUCUCCCUUCGCUGGCGCUGUUUUCCGCCAGCCCUCUUUCAUGCCUGACCUCGCGAGAUGCACAUGUGCUCUACCUCCUCCAGGGCACCUCACCUGACAGAUUGCUGGUUCCCCCGACUGCCCCAGAGCAGGAGCUAUUUAAAAGGGGAUGUUUCAAUGCUGCAAUACCAAGAAGUAAGCAAGCAAUAUCGAAGGACUGCUGCAGCUUCUCUGUCACAGGUUGCCUGGGUUUGGAUCCUGGAUCUGCCUUUUACCUGCUGCAUAAUUUGGGACAAUUUAUUUCCACUCCUUGUGCCAAAGUUUCCCCAUCUUAAAAUGGGAAUAAUAAUUGUAUCUCCGCAGAGUUUCUGUGGGGGUUAAAUGAAUGUAAGCCCAUUUAAAGUGUUUAG